GUAAUUGUUGGGAUGCCACGGACAAACCGGGGAAGCCCCCGGAGGAAAACUCCGUGUUGUCUAGACCACGGCCGUGCCCAACACAAGUUAAAUUAAAUAUAUGUGACUGAAGUAAGCUGUCAUGCAGAGGAACUAUAUCAACAAGGCCUACAUGUUGCUGCAUAAUAGAAGACUUAAGACAAUAUUAACCUUGGCCUUGCUCUGCCUUGUCCAUCCAAGUCAACAGUUGGCACCCCUAGCCUCACAAUGCGAGUGAACAGAGACUGUUCCAUAUUGGAGUACUUUUGAAAUGCCAUAUUCUUAAUUACUGGUGGCAGCUGGUGGUGAUCACCAAUCAUUAUCCAGCGUUUAAGUCGACUAAAGCCAUCUUCAGGAUUCUGCAGCAGCAACGGAAUGAACGUUUCAAUCUCCAAGAUCUGUGCUGACUCUUCCAUUAGGAUGUUGUCAUACUUGAAACCUGAAGUCAUAACUUGGAGUCUCACAGAUCCUAAAUCUAGAACAGACAGAGGGAAUGGUGGCCACAGUUGGAGGGACGCUACAAGAAAUUGGCGAAUCCAUCUUGACACAACAUUAGAUCACACUUUGGCAUUAUUUAAAUCCACUAAAAUGCCCUCACCUGAGAGAAAUAAGAAACGGAUGAAGGAGAGAACUUCAUUAAAAGACUACGUUUAACCUACAUACCAAGAUCAACUAAUUCCCUGCGCUUGAGUGCAGCAUGGGUACAAGUCAUGGCAAUCACUUUUGCCUCCUUCACGAGCAGAUAUUUUGAACGGUCCAGCCCACUGCGCAGCAAUUCAAAUGCUCGGAACUCUUCCAUAGCCUACACUGAGGAACAGAAAUACGUGGAGAGUUUUGAAAUGUGGUGUUGGAGAAGAAUAGAGAAGAUCAGGUGGACGGAUCGAGUGACCAACGAAGAAGUAUUGAGGAGAGUCAACGAGCAAAGAAACAUUCUGCAGGCGA